UAGAGUAAAUAAGGCUUCUGUACUUUUUGGGAAAGUAAUUUUCUUCUAAGGAAUCUAGAGACAUCUUUCUCAGGCUUCCAUUAUGGAAGAGUAGAAAUCAGGCUUCCCGAGUUCGAAACCCAGUUCAGGUGCUCACCAGCCGCUGGCCGCUGGUUUGGGCGGCUGAAUUUGGAGCUUCAGGGUCCUGUCUGGUGGGGAGGGUGAGGGUGAGGUGACGUCGCUUCAGAGAGCUGGUCCGAAGUCACGUGACAUGAAGCACGUGCAUGCAUUCAGCGCUUCGUUGUUGUCCGUUCCUGUCUCAGUGACAGCCAUUCUCAAAAUCUGUCCUUGUACUGUCCGCUGCUUUCUCGAGACACCGUACAGACGCUGCUUUAGUGCCUGUGAUUAUCGGAAUCUCAGCAAGUUCCACUCUUGUUGAAUGUAGAUUAGAAUAUUGCUCCUGCUACUAAGUAACAGAUUGCUUAUUAAUGAUGUUGGUUGGAGGAAAAUGGUUCUCAUUAUUAAUUUGGCUGCAAGCUACCUUUCCCAACUGGUAAGUGAAUUAAAAAAAAUAUUUGAAAAGGAACUGCUGGAGGAACUGCUUUGCCCACAUGUGUAACUAAUACAAAUAAUGAGUGUAUAUGUAUAUAUUUAUUGAUUAGUUUGUUAAUUAAUCAAGACAGGGUCUCAAUAUGCAGCUCAGCCUGGCCUGGAAAUCACUAUGUAGCCCAGGAUGGCUUCAAACUCUCAGUGAUCCUCUUGCCUCAGCCUCCUGAGUGCUGGGAUUACAGGCGUGCUCCACCAUGCCCAGCAAUAAGUGUUUUAUGACUCUAAAGCAAGCUUGAAAGUUUGAUCACCACCAAGUAACAAUAGCAAUCAUGAUAUUAUGGAAAGGUUUGAAGUUGUUCUUGUUGUAUAUAAUCAAAGAAGGAAUUUUGCUGUUAUCAGUUUUCGUGUUGGAUGUGUUUUAGCAUGGAAUAGUUCAAAAAAUACAAAAGAAAUGCCAGGUAUCCUCUUGUCUUGCUUGAUUCUUGAAAUUCAAAAUAGCCUUUGUGAAAGACAAAAUAACCAGAAUUGUUAAACAAUAGAGCGGCCUCCCUGUGUUUUGACGUCUGGAGCCCAGUGUUCGGCCCACACCUGUGAUCUCAGCACUCUGGAGGGGACCCUUGGCUCCUGGGCCCUUUACUCCCUCUUCAAGCCCAGCCACAAGGGGCUGGUUCCUCUCCUCCUUGAAUUCUCUCCUCUUCUGAGUCACCUCUCUGACCCAACUGGGAAAGACUCCUCACUUUUAAAAACUCAUGUGGUUAGGUUGAGCCGACCUGGAUAAUCCAAGAUCUUCCGUCUCAAGAUCCCUGACCUGACCCUGUAGAAGUCUUUUUGCCAUGUAAGAUAACAGAUAGGUUCUGGAGCUCAAGGGGUGGGCACCUUUGGUGUAGGGUGUUGUUCAACCUUCUUUCACCUCUCAAUUUUAGCACUUCUUAUUUUACGGGAACAAGCGCAAGACAGUGGGUGUUUGGAGAAGCAUCACCUUGGUUUCCAUGCAUGGAAACAAUUUUUAUAAUAGCCCACAAGUAUAAGUAAGAGCUCUUUGAGUUGAAGGGAGGAUUCGUGGUUUGAAGGAACCCUGAUGCUUUUACACGCUUGAAGGGUCCCCUCUUUUUGGGAGCAUUUGGGGAGUCUAGAGAUAGCGGGGAUGAGGGUUCUGGCGAAUGAGGUGUGGAAUCAGUGGUAGACCUUCAGAUUCUCCUAGAGAGCUUUACAGUCUGCUCUCUAGUCUGGCCUCUGGUCUCCAGGUUGCAGAAUCAAGCUGAUUGUGUUUUAGAUUCAUCAUUCAUUGCCAAAGUUGGGGAAUGGCUUAUGACACCGAUUCUUUCCUACCCACAGGUCAUAUUGAUGAGAAGUGGUUUGCAGUAAGACAGAGCCUUGCCUUGCCUUCGUUUUUUUUCCUGCAGAAUGUUUUGUUUCGGAAAUGGUUUUGUCUGCAAGUAGACAACAAUUACACCUCUAGGAAAUCUUUGCAUCACUAACAUAUUGGUGCUGAGUUCGUUCCCUCGAAACAGUCACUGUGGCACUAAGCCAUCUCCUAGUGAUACUGGGAAGAUCUUCUCAUGUUCUCCAGGGGACAGGACGGCGACAUUCUGUGGUGGGUGCAUCAUUCAUCUCCAGGGCUGACAGAAAUUUCCCAUUGAAAAAGCAGGAACGGACUCUCGCGUGGGCCGGAGCAGCUUCUUCUGCUUUAAUAUCAUGCCCGCCGCCUUUUUCUUCUCGGAACCAAUGGUGCACGUCUGUAAUGCCAGCUCCUCUGGAGGCUGAGACAGGAGGACCACAGGUUUACAGCCAGCUUCGAUGGCUCAGUGAGACGCCUCUCAAAAUGAAAGUACAGAAAGGGCAGGGAUGAAGCUCAGCCCUUCCUGAGUUUAAUCCUCAGUGCUGCAAAGCAAAACCAAACCCCCUUUUCUCCUUCUGAGGAUGCUCUCGGAAGCCACAUCAGAUGUGCCAUGAAGAGCUGAAAGGCCGUUAUUUAAUAUCGUGGGAAAGAAAAAGCUCUCCUUGAUCAAGCUCAUUUGAGGACCACUUAGGCUAAAAUUAAAGAAGCUCCUUUAUUCAGCGAUUCCCCAUCUUUAAUAAGCAAGUGUCGAGACCCAUCUCCACAGGAGAAACCUACUGCAAGGGUUUUGAGCCACGAAACUCAGCCCUGUCUUUGCCCCUGGCCCUGUCUCCUUCAUCCUAAAACCAGAAAGCCUCCAUCAUGUCUAAUUGUCUAAAGAACACACACUGAAGAGCUCUGAAUGGGACAAGACAUUCACAGAGGAGGAGCCCCUAGCCCUGUGUGUUGGCCGGGUUGGGUUAGGUCCCAGUUCCGGGGAUUUGGGUUCAGCCUCCUCAUCUAACACAGACCCUUGAACACCAGCAGGGCAGAAGCUUUCUCAGAGAGACACCAGCCCAUGAGGGGAGGGACAGGCAGCCAGGGCAGGAGCUGAGCAGAGGGAGUCAGAUUUGUUGAAGGAUGCAGUGAUGACCCAGGCCGGGAUACCUGGAGGCUCAUCAGAUUGGUGGGAUUUUCAUGCCCAGAAAUAAGACAUUCACAGCUCCCUCAAGAGUGCCUGUGUUCUGUUUAAAGUUACAAUUAUCGGUGCUUAUAGACGGACACUUGCUAUCUAUCCUGUGUUCCCACGGUGGCCCGGUUCUACAGGAAGCUUCUACCCCCAGGUUGAUCUCAACUUGACUUCGCUCUAGUCAUCUUGGGGUAUAAACACCCCAGACAGAGCGUUCCCUUGGCAACCCUUUUCGGGGUGGGGGGUUGUGAGAAGAAAGAAGAAAUGGGCUGGGGACCGCAUCUUGAGGAAAGGAGCAGAAGAGCUGCCAAAUGGCCCUGUCCGUGGGCAACAGCAGGGGACCCACUUUCAAGGGUGCUGGCUGGGUCCGCCCAGGUCUGGUAAUUUUCCAUCGGGUCCUGAGUAUGGUAUUUUUUGGAAACUGUUCCUCAUAUUUUGAGGGUAUGGACCAUUGGCCAUGUCACCCCUGGUGUUCCCCUCUUGUUACUGUGCUGCUGCCCCUUGCACAGAGGUGAUGUGUUCGCUUGGCAAGGGACAGUGGGAAAGAGAUCCCGCUCUCUUGCUGGGAAACAGGUCCUGGGUCAAGGCCCUCAAAUCCUGGGUCUUGUGCCCUGGGGGUCCCUGUCUUAUUUCAAUCUGAUCACAGCCACAGAGCCAGGUGACUUUAAUUUGAUGUUUCCAACUGCUGGCUUAAUAAUUAAAAUAAAAUCUUUGGCUGAGAAUACAUAAUGCCAGAUUUUGUAACAAGAAAUGUUUAGGGUACAUAUUAUAUACAGUGUGUGUGGGAUUCCCAGUGAUUUCAGAAGUAAUUCCCAGUUCUUACUAAGAAUUAAUUAACACUUGCAGGGCAUGGUGGUGCAGGCCUGUAAUCCCAGCACUGUGGGAGCCUGAGGCAGGAGGAUCACAGUUUCAAGUCCAGCCUGGUCAACUUAGGUGGCUCAGUGAGACCUGGCCUCAAAAUAAAAAAUAAAGAAGGGUUGGAGAGGUAGCUCAGUGCAUUAAUAUAUGAAAACAAUCGUCUUGAUGUUGUAAUUUUGUUUCGUACGAUGGGUUAGUCAAGGGGGUAUUUUGAUGUUUCGUGGGAAAAUUCUGCCUUGACUCUCAGAAAUAGACCUUCUUGCCCCGCAUGUAAAAACUGCAGCUGUCAUGGUGUCACCAGACAGAGUCCCAGAAGGAUCCCAAAGCCGAGAUAAGGAAGCUGAACCCACACUACCUGCAGGAAAAGCUGCAGGUUUGCUGACACCUGUCAUGGAAAAACAUUUUCAGGAUGCAUCAUUAAGAGGCAUGGAAAGGAUUUAUUAGGCAGGACUUUAAAAGUGCACAGAAAAUUGGGGUGUGAGCCCACAAAAGAAAGAGGCACAGUAUUUCCCAGAACUGGGAACAUUUAUGCUUCUCUUGAAGGGGUGGAAACCCCAGGAAAAGGUAGCCGAUCCCCGGAAGGGUGUGGGUCAUUUUUACAGGAAUGAGCUCAGUGUUUUUCUCUUUUUUAAUUUAAGCAUUCUUUGAAUUCUCUCAACCUGUUCCUUUGCCUUAAGAUCAGGUUCCUGCUCUUUACUUUUUCAACUAAGCUGGUUUAUAGACUUGCUGUAUUCUGGAGGAAUUCAGGGUAUGACACGUGUGGUGGGAAAGGAGCCUGAAUUAACCAAGGAAAUGCUGACCUGGGUCACCUUGGGGGACUACAACUGAGUCCUGAAAGUUGUAGUCAUUUUUUCUUGUUUUGUUUUGUUUUUGAGACAGGGUCUCCCUACUUAGUUCAGGCUGAAUUUGAACUCAUGAUAUUGUCCAGGCUGGCUUCAAACAUGCAGUCAUCCUCCUGCCUCAGCCUCCCGAGUGGUGAGAUUACAGGUGUGUGUCACCAUACCUGGCAGCUGCAGUCUGUUUUUAGUUAGGAUUUUCCGGUUUGCUCUUCUGCCUUUCCUUCUUCUGUGUUAUCUCAAUGAGAUUAAAAAGUCCUUGUUAGCAAUAGUUCUUCAGUGUGAUUGUCAAACCCCUUUGGGCUUUAGAUUCAUUCAGCAAAUCUGUAAUGAAUCCCCAGGCAGGCUGGGCCUGUGCUAGGCACAGGAAGGAGAAUGAUAAAUAAGGCCUUUGAGGCCUAACAUUGUGCAACUAUGGGUAUGAAUUACCUCUGCUUUUCAGACAGGGAACCCAGAUCACUUAAGGAAAAAAUAAUGGACACAUUUAAUGAAAAUUUAUAGACCCAGUGAGAAAAUGUAUGGUGGAAACUUUAACUUUAAAAAUCUAUGUCACAAGUCAGGUGUGGUGGUACACACCUGUGAUCCCAGGACUUGAGAGGCUGAGGCAGAGGAUUGCUGUGAGUUCGAGGCCAGCCUGGGCUACAUAGAGAGACCUUGUCUCAAAAAACAAACAAAUGAACAACAACAAAAAUCGGUCAUAGUUUAAAAUGUUACAUUAGAUGGGCUCUCAUAUUAUUAAAAUUACAUUAAAAGAAAGUAAUAUAUUAAGAAGAAGUACAUUUAUAUGAGUGGCAAUUACUCCCAGUGUAUAUCAACUUGAAGUAGUAAAUUAAAUACUUCAAGAUUGGGAACUUGGCAAUCCUAUGAACACAUAAAUAAAGCUGGUCCCAGAGAGGUUAGAGAACUUAUCCAAAGUCAUAGAGUUUGUAAGAGGAAAGAUAUCUUGGACUUUACUCCACAGUAACUUUGUUCCAAACUCAGCCUGUCUCUAUUGAGAGAGGAGGCCACCCCUCCAUGUGGAAUGAUGGUUAACCAGGUAACUGUGCUCUUUGUGGAAUGCACUUGAGCAGCCAUGACAACUUCUGCAAUCUGUCGCCAAAGGGUUGUAAAGGACUCAGAAAGUUCUGCCAGAAUUCUUUGCUUUACACCCUCUCCAUUGCUCUGCUUUGUGUAAAUCCUGCUUGCUAUGUUCCCAGGGAAACUCCAAAGGAAUUAAGCUUUUUAGAUGUAAAAAGAGGGGCUGGGGAUUUAGCUCAGUGGUUUCGCUGCCUUCUGCGCAAGCGCAAAUGCAAGGACCCGAGUUCGUCCGCCCCCGGUACCAAAAACAAAACAAAAUAGAUGUAAAAAGAGGUACAUAGGGAAGUGAAAACUUCUAUUCGGGGAUCUUGUGACUGACAGGAAUCACUCGCUGAGCUGCCAGCAUUAAAAGCCUCUUUUUGCUCCUAUCUUCGUGUUAAGAGUGGUUUGUCCAGGGUCCUCGAAGUUUCCUGCUUCACUAUGGUUACCUUUUAUUGUUGUUUUGAGACAGGGUCUCACUAUGUAGUUCAGCCUGGCCUUGAACUCAUCAUAUAGCCCAGGCUGGCCUUGAACUUGCGAUCCUCCUGCCUCAGCUUCCUGAAUGCUGGGAUAUCAUAGGUAUGCACGACCAUGCCCAGAUUGUCUUCUAUAAAUAAUCAAGUAAUCCAAGAUGGCCCAAGCAGAAGUGCUUCUAGGGGCUCUCAGAAGAGAAAAUGUACUCCACAGUUGAAGAUCAGCUUUACUUUGCAAAAUUGCCCUUUGUCCAGUCAUCCUUUGUUUUCCCCUUUACCUGGUGCUGUAAUUUGUAAAAGAAAACCUACUUUAAAUGGCUGAGAUAUUAAUAACCAACUAUUCCAAGGAAAGGGGGACAAAUUAUAUAAUUAUAAUCUUUCUUUAGUUUUUCAGAACCAGUAAUCCAUGGUAGUCUUCAGCAGCAUCAUGUGUAGAACAAGGACUUUCUCAUUCUGCUCUUUUUUUUUUUUGGUACUGGGGAUCAAACUCAGGACCUUGCAUUUGCCAGGCAUCCACCUCACUGAGCUACAUCCCCAGCCCUCAUUCUGUUCUUUAAUUAAAAGAAGAAUAAUGUUUAACUUGCAGGAGAAUGAUGUGUUUACCUAAAAGGAUUAUUAGCAUGCACCCAGGAGACAAAAGUCAUUUGUAAUUGCAUUAAUGUCCAGACUAUGGAGAAAGGAAAACAUUCACUGAAUGACAAAGAUGGCCCACAGCUGCCAAGUGUGACUCAGCACCUCUUCUGUCUGAUACCCCACUUCUCUCCAUCCUCAGACCCUUUCAUACACCUGAUUUUCUGGGGAUGGUAUCAGGACGGGAGUCUGGACAUUGUACCAGCAGCUAAAUCAUCAUAUUCAAUGGACUUCCUUCCUACCCACUCUCACCUCCAGUACUGGCUGUCAGGCGGAGAACUGACCCUUGGUGGGUAACAGGAUUUAGCCACUUCCGGAGGUAGAAGGAAGGAUGCUAGCAACUGAGGACUCAGGAUGGAGGAGUGAGGUUCCCAGGGGACCCGGUGACACCUUCCAAGCAGAGGAAACACAGGCAAAGGCAGAUGAUGUGAAGCAGCUUUGUGUACAGUGGACCUUGACUUACAAACUCAAUCCAUUCUCGAAGGCUGGCUGUAACUCAAGUUGGUCAAUGAAGGCUCAGGCUCCUUUACAUAGCUUUUGAAGUCUCUCUCCUGUGUACAGGCAGAUCUCAGUGUCCUUAGAGAGACACUGGCCCAGGAUUUCUCAGUAAACCCCACACAGGAAAGGAUGCUGUCAGGUUCCUUCCAGACUCUUUAAAGGUUAAUCUGACACCAUCUGGAAGCACAAGCGGCCAGCGUUUGGGUUGUAACUCAAGGCUUUGUUUGUAAGUUAAAACUAAAUUUCGGUUCUAACCCAAGUCGUUCCUAUGUCAGGCUAGUUGUAACUUGAGGGGACAAUGUAUUAAUGUUCUAUGAUUUCUAGGUUCAUUAGUUCUCAAUUGGCAUAGCUGGAGCCCAGGGUGUGUAUCUGGACUGGUCCCAAUAUUCUAAUGAAAAUGGAAAAGGGGCUGGGGAUUUAGCUCAGUGGUUCCACCGCCUGCCUGCCAAGUGUCAGGUCCCAAGUUUGAUCCCUGGUACCAAAAAAAAAAAAAACAACAGGGAAAAUAUCAUCUCAAAGUAGGAUUUUAUGUGCAAAGAAUGGAAUGUGAAGCUGGUAAUCUCCCCCCUGGCUCCUUACAAAUCACAUUUUGAAGUUCUGCUGGUAGACUUCUACUUUACUUAUUUGCCAGGGUUUUAGAUUUACCUAGGAAGGUAAUACAUUUUUGUGUGUUUCACUUUUAAUACUGGAUUAUAUCUGUAAUGUUGUGAAAUGUUAGUAACAUUUUGACACAGUUUUCCUUUGUGUUAGACAUGGUUCUUUUAAAUUAAAUUUACUUUUUGACUUCGUAAUACAUGUACACAUUAGGACAUGGGACAGGUGAACAUAAAAAGUAGGUCCUGCUGGCUACACCUUUUCUCAAUUGUGGCCAUUAUUAAUAGAUUCUGGGUGUCCUCUAGAGCUGUUGCUAUUUUAUGCAUUGUAAUUGUGUAUAUUGUUUUAUUACUUUAAGCCCAAAUUUUAACACAAUAUCCUGUGUAACACAGGGCUAGUGCUCUCUUAAGUUUCUUUCUCUCUUUCUUCUGUGUCAAGUAAAUUACUGCUUUUUCUAGCUACCUGGGCACCCACUUUGGCGACCACGUCAUCUGGCUCCCUGGAAGCUUGUGUGACCCAGGGCUGACUUUGAGACUGAGCCCUGGGCACCUUCUGUUCCCCACCCCUCUCUCUCCUUCCUUCCCUUCCACUUUAACAGGAAUGGAGGAAAAUGAGUCCACGUUGCCAAGGUGGCUCAGCUGCAGGAAAAUAGGAGCGUAGGGGUCUGACACUGUGUCUACUAUGAUAGCUCUCGGUUCCUUAUUUCUGGGCUGUUAUAUGAGAAAAAAUAAAAUUUCUUGUUUACCCGGU